rnacentral:ribozyme from 1 species
CCCCUACUCCUACUCAAUACGUCCCGUCGUACAGAACGGUAACAUGUCUCUCAAUUAUCCAAGCUUGGGUAUACGGGGAAGACCAACCCCUUGGCCGGAAGAGUUGCAUGGCUAAAUUGAGUGGA